CCAGAAGAGCACAGGCAGAAAACCAGUCACUUGAACGAGUUGCUUGCGGCAAAAACGGUGGAGCAUAGCAACGGAGGUUGGGGCUUAAAUGGAAUCGACUCCGCCGAAAAGCAGACCGCGACUCCUAUCACUGUUAUUGUG
rnacentral:rRNA from 1 species